rnacentral:rRNA from 1 species
UACGUAGGAUGCAAGCGUUGUCCGGAUUUAUUGGGUUUAAAGGGUGCGUAGGCGGCCUAUUAAGUUAGUGGUGAAAACGUUCGGCUUAACCGGAUACCCGCCAUUGAUACUGAUAGACUUGAGUGCGACAGAGGGUGUUGGAAUGUGUGGUGUAGCGGCGAAAUGCUUAGAUAUCACGCAGAACACCAAUUGCGAAGGCAGACGCCUAUGUCGUAACUGACGCUGAGGAACGAAAGCGUGGGGAGCAAACAGG